CAGCAGCCGCGGGAAUACGAAGGGGGCUAGCGUUGCUCGGAAUGACUGGGCGUAAAGGGCGCGUAGGCGGCGGCCAAAGUCAGGCGUGAAAUUCCUGGGCUCAACCUGGGGGCUGCGCUUGAUACUUGGUUGCUUGAGUGGGGAAGAGGGUCGUGGAAUUCCCAGUGUAGAGGUGAAAUUCGUAGAUAUUGGGAAGAACACCGGUGGCGAAGGCGGCGACCUGGUCCUUGACUGACGCUGAGGCGCGAAAACGUGAGGAGCAAACAGGAUUAGAUACCCGCGUAGUCCCUGUCUCUUAUAC
rnacentral:rRNA from 1 species